GAUUCAUAGCAAAUUCCACAAUUUUCACACACGUGUGCAGUUGCAAGUCACUUGGUGAUGUUCCCAAUGGAAUUUGUUGCAAGUUUUAGCACUGAUGGGUUUUUCAAAACAAUUUGCGAGUAGCGGUUUAGUGUACUGUGUAUUUUAGAAGACGUUUGCAGAGGCUGCACCUGGGCCUCAGCAGCAGGUUGGUCUCCACUGAUGAGCUCUCUAAGGACACCACAUAUGCUCACCCAAAAACAUGUGCCUUAUCUACAUUCCAGGCAUGGCAGAACCACAAGGUUCAAAUUAAAACCCUGAGGCAUCAGUCACUAAUUAGCUUCUGUGCUCAUUGCAUACCCACGAAGCCCACCCUAGGCAGAUGAAAGAUGUACAUGAAGCACUCAGGAGAAUGUGGGAGAGGGACAGAGAAGAACAGCGAGAACAGUUGAGGAAUGCUGGCAUUUCACAGCAUGUGAUGACUGCAAAAGGACCAGCAUGGUGUCCCUGGCCACGCCAGCUCUGGAGAUCUCACUACUGAACUUCCUCACCUAUGAUAGCACAUUUGUACUCCAGCUCCAUGUUCAUUGCAACCUGUGAGACUCACCUCUGCAGCCCCCAGUGAUGUGGGUAGAAGACCCAGGAGAAGCCUCUCCGGCUCCCACCGCUGAGCUUACCCUGACCUGGCAAAUCUGGAAGUAAACAUUUUGCUUUAUCAGCUGGGUGAAUCAGUGAGUUGAUUAGAAAGACAGAUUUCCACAAUGCCUGGCAAUGUCACUUUUCAGAGAACAACUGAGCUUUAAAUAUUGGUACAGAGCGGCCAGCACAUUUGGAGACCUUACCCCAAAGACCUUCUGGAGCAGACUGUGUUGUAUCUCUUUGGUCUCUUUGAACGGCACAAAUACUUGAAGCUUCCUGGCAUGAUUUUGGCCCAGACUACAGUUUAGCUGAUUCUGAGGGAUACAAACAAUACAGGGAUCAUUCCUCUGGAGGCAGGACUGAUGAAGAGCAUUUAAGCACCUUAUGGCCCAGCCCCUCGCCAUUUCAUUUAUUAACAUUCCUGUGACAUUUGAGAACAGAGCACCUCUUCCACAGCCACACUGCACAUUGAACAGGACAGGACAGGGAAGGGAGAAGUCGCCCAGGAGCCAGAUGUCUUACAAGGAGCCUUCCAAGCUGGGACACAGUUCCGCUGGACCUCAGUUUGAAGUAACGUGGGGCUGUAUCCACCUUCCUUGUCUCCUUGCCAUGCAAGACAUGGCAGAGGUUGUUACAGCACAGUGUAGGGCUGUGGGCACCACAGCUCCCUGCUCAGCUACGUGCAGAGCCAGUAAGGCAGCGGAAAAGCCACUUCUGAAUUUUGGAUGAGUGGAGGAGGAACUGACUUGCAUUGAUACAUAAUCCAAACUGGCUUCUCUAACACUAUAAAGCUCAGAUGAGUAUUUCCAGACCAUAAAUAUCUUAAAAUGGCAUUUCUCUAUCAGAAUAAGCAUAUGAAGUCUGAGUAGGAUGUACAUUGCAGAGUGCUAAUAGUAAGGCUUUGGUCUGUUUGGUUCCCCAUGUCUUAAAACUCAUUGCAAAGCAGCACUAAAGGCCCUGUGGACUCAGAGCAGGGUUCCAAGGAGUGACAAUUAAGGUGCCCAAAGUGUGGAAUUCUGGGCUGCCUUCCCCAGGAUCCCAAAUCCAUGGCUAUCUCCUUCUCUCCAAGAAAGCAUCAGCCAAGUCCUCACCAUCACCUAACAGUAACAUGAAUCUCAGAUCCCCAAACUCCUGAGUGUCCCAAGACUGGCGGGAGGCACCGAGGGUGGCACCUCCACAUGGGCAAGUGGAUCCCCAUCUUAACUCCACUGCCAUGGAGAAAGAAUCACAUCUGCCCAUCUGUCUGUGCCUUCUCCAGUUUUACCAGGUCUGUGCCUGAGGCUUACUGGGAGGACUGGAGAUUGAAAAAGGGAAAACUGAAGAAGGAAAUGUUUGGUGACAUCAUCUGAGUUCUGAGAAACACAUAAAUGUGAAGGAAUGGAACAUGAUCCUCUGGGAGGAGCAGAGUGCAAGGAAUGAAAGAUGACCCUUCCUGAUCAAAGAACUGGUGUAAAAAUGGUUGUUGGAUAUGGAGCCAUCUUUGGUGUUGUCACCAGAUUAUAGAGCCGUACUACACCAGUUUCCCAAAUUCCUAGAAAGGGACAGCUGGUCACGCAUGCUGGGAGACUCUCCACGAGGUGCUGGGAGCUGCCAGCUGCUUUAACUUAACCCCUUUGCCUUUAGUCUGUUUGCACAGCAUUAAAGCACUGUGCUUCCCAGGAAACAAUUUUUGUCAAAUAUUUAAAGUCCCACGAUUUUAUACAUUCAUGAGUGUGCUCAGGCACUCUGAAAACCUCCCCCUCUCCUCCACCCCUGCCUCCCAACAUGGGGCCCUGUGGGGAAACGUGCCAUCCUGCUGUUGAUGUUUUCCCUGAGCAGACGCACAUCCAUGACGGUAUGAAAAAUUAAUAAAGGAACACAGAGAGCGUUAACAAACGCUGACAGAUCUCCCGCAGUUAAUUGACAUCCACCGUUCUGUUUAAAAUUAAUAAAGGCUUGCCGAGCAUGGGGAACUCACACCUCAUCGUGGAACAAAUGUCCCACACAGCUCAGCAGGUCACGCCACUGCAUUGGCGAAGCUGUGUGUCACAAAUCAUGACACAUAUCCCAGGCAUUGUUUCAGGCCUGUGUGGGGUGCUGCUCUCAGCCCAGGUGUAGGAGGGCUGUCUGACGCAUGCCCUGGAGACUGCCACUGAUGGAUUUGCGAUGUGGGCUGUAAGGGAGGCUGCUAAGGGUCCUGUGGACAGGAGAAACAAAAGGAGAAACCCCAGCACUGCUAAUGGCAGUGUGAUGGCAGUCUGCCUUUUAUUCAGUGGUAAAGGCAGGCAACAAUCUGAGGAAUUGUAUAGAAUGUAAAGACCGAGAGCUCUGACAAGCCAUGAAAUAGAGCAGACAACUCCUAGAUGAAGUUUUAUUGGGAAGCUGUGGGGCUUGAGGUGCCACCAGUGGUGUGGUUGGAGAUGGGACUGGCCCAGGUGAGCAGGAUUGACCCCACACUUGUGCAGUCUGCGCCACCUAGGCUCGACUUGCCUCCAAGUGUAGGUACCUUUUUGUAUUUAGCAACCCCAAGCUUUGGUUCAGGGAUAAUAACGAGAGGGUUGUGUUGCCAGUGAAGCCAAUGAAACUAGAGAACCUCAUGCAUGGCACUGACAAUACCCUGAGACCUGGAGACUUUCACAAUCUGCUCUGGAUGAUGAUAACUGUCUGGAGCAGAUCAUCUCACAUGGGUGGGCUGAUGUGCUGGCUCUCAGGUGAACCACAUGUGGAAAGGUGCCCAUCUCACCUGCAAGCAGCUCCCAUGGAAAGCACGUGGACAAAGGGAAGAGAUGCUUGGACAAUUUCUCCAGGAGAGC